UAAUGUGUUUCCCUCAGUUUUAGUUUGUAACCCCAAAUCCGGGUUACAAACUGAAACUGAGGGAAACACAUCAACU
rnacentral:sRNA from 1 species